GAUGAACGCUGGCGGCGUGCCUAAUACAUGCAAGUCGAGCGAACAGAUGAGGAGCUUGCUCCUCUGACGUUAGCGGCGGACGGGUGAGUAACACGUGGAUAACCUACCUAUAAGACUGGGAUAACUUCGGGAAACCGGAGCUAAUACCGGAUAAUAUAUUGAACCGCAUGGUUCAAUAGUGAAAGACGGUUUUGCUGUCACUUAUAGAUGGAUCCGCGCCGCAUUAGCUAGUUGGUAAGGUAACGGCUUACCAAGGCAACGAUGCGUAGCCGACCUGAGAGGGUGGUCGGCCACACUGGAGCUGAGACACGGUCCAGACUCCUACGGGAGGCAGCAGUAGGGAAUCUUCCGCAAUGGGGGAAAGCCUGACGGAGCAACGCCGCGUGAGUGAUGAAGGUCUUCGGAUCGUAAAACUCUGUUAUUAGGGAAGAACAAAUGUGUAAGUAACUAUGCACGUCUUGACGGUACCUAAUCAGAAAGCCACGGCUAACUACGUG
rnacentral:rRNA from 1 species